UGUGACGCCUCACUGUCUUCCUCCUCUUGACGGUGCGCUGCCUCCUUUUUCAGGUACUCAAUCUCCCUACAAGGCACGCACAAAGACACAUGCAUCAACGAGAUAUUGUCUUGGCAUUUGAUGAAUCAAAGUAAGAAGAUGAUGCUCCACUGAGGGACGAAGGACGGGAAGGCAGUUGAAAGAUUCAAGACAGAAAAGGGUCCAGCUCGACGGGAGACAAUGAGUCUUGGUGUUCGGCCAAGUCGAAAACCUCGAUGGAAUUGGGAAACAUGGGACUCAUCUCCUCAUCCUCAUCUGUGGCAUAUUCACCUGUCUAGAAGACAUCAACAAAGAGUUUGUUGGAUCAGCUGAGCCACUUCGCUCUGCUCCCCCGGCUUCUCCCGACCAAUCACAAAUCUGGGAAUG